rnacentral:snoRNA from 1 species
GGUCAGUGAUGAAUAGUAAAAGGUCUGACUACCCUGAGAUGGCUCUGCUCACCUUCCCAGUUCCCAGCUGCCUCUUUGCUGUCAGGCUCUAGUGGUGCAGUGACUGAGCAGAGGCCAGCUGACAUCACGGGAUGCCCCAUGUGUAUGAGUGUGUUUGCUCGAAUUUCAGUGAAUGCACCACUGUGGUUGGUGUCCAACAGUGGGAAUCGGCAAGGAAUAAAGACUGGUGGGAGCACAUCUCUUGUGGGUCUGAUCUGAAACUUGCAAACUGAGGCC